rnacentral:lncRNA from 1 species
CAAACACACCCGCGCACAUGAUAUAACACCCUACUUUCUUACUCAACAAUUAAUUAAAUAAAACAUGUAAAACACAUAUAUCCUCCAAGUAGGAUGUUACUCGACAAAAAUCAAACUCAUAUUUGAACCACAUAAUUGAAAAUGAAAGCAGCGACAAUUAUAAAAAUAUUUGGUAUUAAAAGUCUCAACAACAUUAAUAGUUUGAAAAGUGGUUCAUCAUCAAACAAAUAAAAAGAAAGAUAUGCAACAUAAAAUAAAUAAAAUAACAAC